AUAACAAUGCGGGACUCUUAUGAGGCUUCGUAAUUGGAAUGAGUACAUUCUAAAUCCUUUAACGAGGAACUAUUGGAGGGCAAGUCUGGUGCCAGCAGCCGCGGUAAUUCCAGCUCCAAUAGCGUAUAUUAAAGUUGUUGCGUCUAAAAAGCUCGUAGUUUGAAAACUUGCCUUGGCUUACAACAGACGUCUAAGGGCGUCACCGUUUGUCGAGAGCAAAUAUGGGUGACUGUUCUUGCCUUCUUCACUGAUUGGCUCGUAAAAGUCAUCGAAGAUCACUUUGAUUAAAUUAGGGUGCUCAAAGCAAGUGUGCUACUUGAAUAUGAAUGCAUGGAAUGAUGGAAUAUGUUGUUGUUCUAUUUGUUGGUUUUUUGAAUGACGAAAUGAUUGAAAGGAACUGUUGGGGGCAUUCGUAUUGUUGUGAGAGAGGUGAAAUUCUUAGACCAUAGCAAGACGAACUACUGCGAAAGCAUUUGCCAAGAAUGUUUUCAUUGAUCAAGAACGAAAGUUAGAGGUUCGAAGGCGAUCAGAUACCGCCCUAGUUCUAACCAUAAACUAUGCCGACUAGCAAUUUGCUUUGUAUUUUUAUGACUAAGUGAGAGGCCACGGGAAACCAAAGUAGGGUUAUGGGGGAAGUAUGGUUGCAAAGCUGAAACUUAAAGGAAUUGACGGAAGGGCACCACCAGGAGUGGAGCCUGCGGCUUAAUUUGACCCAACACGGGAAAACUUACCUGGUCCUGACACUAGAAGGAUUGACAGAUUGAUAGCUCUUUCUUGAUUUGGUGGAUGGUGGUGCAUGGCCGUUCUUAGUUGGUGGAGUGAUUUGUCUGGUUAAUUCCGAUAACGAACGAGACUCUAGCCUAUUAAAUAAUAUGCGGAAUCAAUUUCUCCCGCGUUAUUUCUUAAUGGGAUCAAGCGUGUUUAACGCUUUGAAACAGAGCAAUAACAGGUCUGUGAUGCCCUUAGAUGUUCGGGGCUGCACGCGCGCUACAUUGAAGAACAAAGUGAGCCCUCUGGCUUUUAACAAAGCUAGAAAUCUUUUAAUGUUCUUCUUAAUGGGGAUAGGGGAUUGCAAUUGUGCCCCUUGAACGAGGAAUUCCCAGUAAGUGCUAGUCAUUAGCUAGUACUGAUUACGUCCCUGCCCUUUGUACACACCGCCCGUCGCUACUACCGAUUGAAUAGUUUAGUGAGAUCAUCUGAGUGUUUGUAUGUGCAUUCUGUGCUUGUAUGGUGUACGAAGAAGAUCAAACUUGAUUAUUUAGAGGAAGUAAAAGUCGUAACAAGGUUUCCGUAGGAACCUGCGGAAG
rnacentral:rRNA from 1 species